rnacentral:tRNA from 1 species
GGGGUUGUAGCUCAGUGGUAGAGCACUUGCCUAGCAUGUGUGAGGCCCUGAGUUCGAUACCCAGCACCA